rnacentral:rRNA from 3 species
CACCACGGUGUGGUUCAUGACUGGGGUGAAGUCGUAACAAGGUAGCCGUAGGGGAACCUGCGGCUGGAUCACCUCCUUA